UCCCUAUCUUGUACGUAACCCGGGGACUGCCUGUAUUCACUUAAAACAAAAAAUACACAUGAGGAUUUAUUUGAUGUACAGUCAAUGUCCAGCAAGGACCUGACUUCUUCUUGCAACUUUAAUUUACCUCUGGCGCAGAAUUCAUGUUCCCUACAGAUUUUUUCCUCAGCAGAAUUAUACCUGCUUCUUGAGAGGCACUGCAAUUACACCUUUCACCCGCCUGGGGCUGCUGUGGCACCAGAAGAGUGGACCGCCAACUCAUGAGUCAGAGCAGCCAGCUAUUGAGAGGAAGAGAGCAGUGGCUGCAUUUCUCAUAGCAACAUGCCUGUGGGGGGCCAGACUAUGGACACAGUGGCUGACUCAAUCCAUGCCUUUCAGGAGUGUGCAGUGUGCUUAACAGUCAACUAUAUCAUCUCUCCUUGGACAAGUAAAAAGUCAUCUUGAUUCCUUCAGCCCCCAAUGGUAACCUUCAGUUCACAAUCCACAGACUUUUUCUAAAUAUGAGGUGAAAGCUGCUGAAUGCCCUCAACCCUCAUUAACCAAGGGUCAAGCCCAUGAGUGUUACCGAUAUUAGACACAAAACAUAAUUCUACAUUGACUAUAUUCCUUGGCGGUCAUGCAACCCUGAGGCUGUAGCAGCGCCUGCAACUCCUCCACACCAGUUCCCCAUCAAGCAAUGGCCAGGCCAGUGGAACUACAUCCUGGAUCAACUAUCCCUUGGUGACAGAAUAUAAAGUACAUCAUGGAAUUGUGGAGUAAGGAGAGGGGAAGAGGCAAGGUUUCCUCUUACUGGAGAAAGCUAAAUACUCCUCUGACAUUGUUACUGAACAGUUUGUAAGAAAAUUGAUCUAAUAGAGGUACCAGCUUUGCAAAGUAGUUAGGAAAAUUUGCCAGCCCUGGUACAAAACCUGCUGACUCGCCCUUACCUACAGUGACUGGUGAUAAUGAAAAAAUAAGGCCGUGUCAGGUACCCAUGACAAAGGGAGCCCUGGGAAAUAACUCACAGGCCACACUCACAUAUGCAUGAGAGGGCAGAGAAAAAAGGUGUCGUGCAUGUCACUGAUGCCCUGCAAGGGAGCAAUGCCUAUUUAUAACAGUUAAGGGUCUGGCACCAUGUUUUAAGGCACAUCAGUGCUGAUCAACAUGAACACAACUGAGAAUCACCAAUCAAAUAUCAUGCCAUGUGUUUUGCUUCAUGCUGUAUUUGUACUAUUCUAGUUUUACAUGUAUUUUUCUGUUUAGAUUAACAACAAAUAAAACAGUGACUUGUUUUUUGCAUCUCCUUUAGCAGUAUGUUUUAACUGGCCCUGGGGAUCAUGUCCCCAGGUAUCUUUUUAUUUUGUAGUCAUGGAGCAAUAAGCCACACCCUCAGCAGAUGUAAAUCAGCAUUGAUCCUUGGAUGUUACCAAAGCUAAGCCAAUUUACACUAGUUGAAGAUCUGGCCCAUUGUUUUGUACAAUAAAAACUGUUGGUACAGUAGUAAUAAAGACAGGUAAUAGAACAAACUAGCAACUGGGCUGAGCUACUAAGUUUGACUCUGCAUCUGAACUUUCCUAGUAUCCAGGGGAG